GGAUGAGCCCGCGGCCUAUCAGCUUGUUGGUGGGGUAACGGCCUACCAAGGCGAUGACGGGUAGCCGGCCUGAGAGGGCGACCGGCCACACUGGGACUGAGACACGGCCCAGACUCCUGCGGGAGGCAGCAGUGGGGAAUAUUGCGCAAUGGGCGGAAGCCUGACGCAGCGACGCCGCGUGGGGGAUGAAGGCCUUCGGGUUGUAAACCUCUUUUACCACUCACGAAGGCCCCUGGUUUUCUGGGGGUUGACGGUAGGUGGUGAAUAAGGACCGGCUAACUACGUGCCAGCAGCCGCGGUAAUACGUAGGGUCCGAGCGUUGUCCGGAAUUAUUGGGCGUAAAGAGCUCGUAGGCGGCCUGUCGCGUCUGCUGUGAAAGUCCGGGGCUUAACUCCGGGUGUGCAGUGGAUACGGGCAGGCUUGAGGUAGGCAGGGGAGACUGGAUUUCCUGGUGUAGCGGUGAAAUGCGCAGAUAUCAGGAGGAACACCGGUGGCGAAGACGGGUCUCUGGGCCUUACCUGACGCUGAGGAGCGAAAGCGUGGGGAGCGAACAGGAUUAGAUACCCUGGUAGUCCACGCCGUAAACGUUGGGCGCUAGGUGUGGGGACUUUCCACGGUUUCCGUGCCGUAGCUAACGCAUUAAGCGCCCCGCCUGGGGAGUACGGCCGCAAGGCUAAAACUCAAAGGAAUUGACGGG
rnacentral:rRNA from 1 species